UAUCCGUUGGUGAACCAGCGGAGGGAUCAUUACCGAGUUUACAACUCCCAAACCCCUGUGAACAUACCAUUUGUUGCCUCGGCGGUGCCUGCUUCGGCAGCCCGCCAGAGGACCCAAACCCUUGAUUUUAUACAGUAUCUUCUGAGUAAAUGAUUAAAUAAAUCAAAACUUUCAACAACGGAUCUCUUGGUUCUG
rnacentral:misc_RNA from 1 species